ACUCUCCCUCAACCAUCACCAUCUACCCUUCUCCGUAAAACCCAGAGGUCGAGAUGCCUGAGUCCACAUCACGAUUCACCACUCUGGCCAGCCUCGAAUCCAUCAAACAACCACUAGCUCCCUGGACUCCCCUUUCUUUCUUUCAAUCGGUGGCUUCGAAGGCGACCGUGAGAGAAAGAGAAUGGGUCGUUGGGAUGCGGGGAGAGAAACAGAGAGCGAAGGGUGGGGAUCGUGAACAGCUGUCGUUCCUCAGUCCAGGAUUCACUCACAAUUGUCUAUGCUCUGUUGCACCUUCAGAUGAGUCACUUCUUGCUUUUGAUUCUGGACUCAAAUAAUAUUUUAUUAUUUCUUGCAUUUAUAUCUGCUUCCAUGAUUAGGUGAGUCACCUUGUCCUUUUGAUUUUGUACUCAAAUCUUAAUAUUUUAUUAUUUCUUGCAUUUAUAUCUGCUUGCAUAGUCACUUUGUCCUUUUGAAUUUGUGCUCAAAUCUUAAUAUUUUAUUAUUUCUUGCAUGUAUAUCUGCUUGCAGGUUUGCUUUGUCAUUUUGAUUUCGUACUCAAAUAUUUAUAUUUUAUUAUUACUUGCAUUUAUAUCAGCUUGCAUGUUGUGAUUGAGAGGCCAGAAUUUGUUUACAAAUCUUUCUACACUGUUUGGUUAGGUUAGGUAGCAUGCUUUUCUCUUUUUUUUUAAUCGAUUUGGGGAUUUUCUGCCCCUCUAUUUAUUCACUUGCUCUCAGUUUUGUUUCUCAGUUUCCUGUGUACUUCUGUUAACUGUUCAAAGGUCCAUUUUUUUCUUUUUUGUAGUUUAAAUUUUGUCUAUUAUUCUGUCUGGCCUACCAUUUCAAUUCCAAUGCUCUUAAAUUGUAUGCAUCUGUGUCUCUGUGUGUGCAUAUGAGGUUGUGCAUCGACUUCUCUGCUGCCUAAUUUUAAUGCAAUUUUUUUUAUUUCAAUUGUUUCAAGACGAGAAGACUCAUUAUUCUCUUUUUUUUUUGGAUUGCAGGAAACGUCCUGCUGACUUGGGAUUUUGCGUUGCAGGUUUCAUUUGGUUCUCUUUGUGGUUUUCUGGCAGUUAAUCGUUUGUUCCUUGCUUUUGUGGGUGAUUACUUACUCAAAUUUACCCUGGUGAUUGCUUUCUCAAAUUUACCCGAUUAAUGGAACCUCAACUGAUUCGGUCCUUGGUGCCGUAUGAACCAGCAAGCAAACUUGAAAUUAGAGUAUGCCGAAUUUGGGUCACAAAGACUAUUAGAGCUGAUCCCCAUGCUGCAAGCUUGGACUCUAUAUUUGCUGAUAAAGAGGGAAAUGCGAUCCAUGCAACUAUGAACUCCUGCGAUACCCAAUUCUUUUCUGAGCAGCUUAAUGUCGGCUUUACUUAUGAGAUAAACAAGUUUUGUGUCAUCCGAAACAAAACUUUGAGCAUAAUUGUCCCUCAUAACACAAUGAUUUAGUUGAACAGGUGGACAACCAUAGUCCUUGUUAAGAGAAUUGGCCAAGUCAUCCCAAUGCAGUGGUUUAAUCUGGUUGAAUUUGAUCAGCUUCACAAAAAAGUUGACAGAUAUGUGGAGCUAACAAGUAAACCAUAACAUAUUUUUUGCCGGUAAACCUUUAAAUUCAUUUUUAGCAGUUUUAAUGUAAUUGACUUUACCGUUAUUCUUUUUACUAUACUCUGCAUGGAUGUUUUUGGUUGUUUAAUGGCCUUACAACCAACUGAAGAGGUGAAUGUGCAAAAUGUUAGGGUUGCGAAAAAACGAAACCUGCAGAUACAAAAUAUAAGGUCAAUGAUCUUUUUAUUAAAUUGGUGUUCUAAAUUUAUACAUAAAUGACCGUAUAAACAUGAGGUACACAACACUAACUGCAUUUUGUUAUCAUAGAAGAGAUCAAAUGAGGGUCACCCGAUGGGCAGAAAGUGCUACAGGUUUUCAGGAGGCUGCACUCAAAAUCGCUGGUGCCGCCUGUAUUCAUUGCUUUGACUACUCUUAAAGUCAACCAGUACCAAGGGAAACUUGUUUUAGGAAGCACAGGCUCAACGGUGUGUUUUUUAAACCCCGAAAUCCCGUAGCUCACGAAAUAUAAACAAAGAUUUCAAUACCUGAACUUGCCCGUUGAGAUUCUACCUAGCUCUGCUAAAGGCUAUGCAAAGCCCCAUGUGAUUGCUGAUUCUGAGUUAAAUACUAUUGAAGAGUUGUUUCUCCUCGAUCCUACACUGAACAAAGAUACAAAAUUCAUGUGUAGAGCGACGAUUGUGGGUUAUGAUCUAAGUAAGGGAUGGUGGUACAAAUCGUGCCCCCUCUUGCCACAAGGCUGCAAAGAAAAUGUCUGCAGACUUUGAGUGCUAUGAACAUGGGUUGCUGACAACAUUGCCUAAACCAUGGUUCAGGAUAAAUUUUAUUGUGGAAGACAACACAAAUCAAUUCAACCUUAUGAUGAUCGGAAGGCACGCUGAAAAACUUUUGGGUGUAUCUUGCCACUCCCUGGUCAUAGAAGAAGGAUACGAUGAUUCUUUUAUGCUGCCGUCAAAUCUUAAGAAAUUUAUUGGCACCACAAAAAAAUUCCAGCUUCGAUUUGGAAAUCAAAACAAGGAAUUUCCCAAGGCGGAUUUUGUUGUGUGCGGAUUAUUUGAGGAACAACCACCAUCUGCCACAGCAACUAACUCGGUUGAACUGUGCACACCUGCUGCAAAUGCUGAGAAACAGAUUGUUAAUGUUGCAACCCCUGCCUCCUUUGUGCCCUUAGAACCAUGUGCUCAAGACAUCCAACUGCCUGCAUCAAACAAGACUACUGUCAAAAGAGCAUUAUUCGUUGAAUCGGAAGCUGACAAAAAACAAAGCAAAACAUGUGAGGAAAGCCAGCCACAAUCCACAAUUUUAGCUACAAUAUCAAAGGAAUUCACCAAGCCGUCAUUCACAAAAUAGAACCUUCAGACAAAGUUCCUAUAAGCGUACUGAGAAGCAGGUCGCAAACCAAAAAACUCAAAGAAAGGUGGUUUGAUGUAGAUUUUGUGGAUCUUUAGAUAAGGAUGAUUCAUAAUUGCACAUAUUUAUUGGAAUUAAACUUCCAAUCCGCAUUUUGUGCACCAUCAAAUCUUAUCUUAGGCUGCCAACAUUUCAAUAUAAUCUG